GGAUUGGCUCGCGUGACAUUAGUUAGAUGGGUAGGGUAACGGCUUACCAUGACUAUGAUGUCUAGGGGUUCUGAGAGGAAGGUCCCCCACACUGGAACUGAGACACGGUCCAGACUCCUACGGGAGGCAGCAGUGAGGAAUAUUGGACAAUGGAUGGAAAUCUGAUCCAGCCAUGCCGCGUGCAGGAAGAAUGUCCUAUGGAUUGUAAACUGCUUUUGUAUGGGAGCAAUAAGGUCUUCGUGAAGGCCGAUGAGAGUACCAUACGAAUAAGCACCGGCUAACUCCGUGCCAGCAGCCGCGGUAAUACGGAGGGUGCAAGCGUUAUCCGGAUUUAUUGGGUUUAAAGGGUGCGUAGGCGGUUAUAUAAGUCAGCGGUGAAAUUUUUCGGCUCAACCGGAAACAUGCCGUUGAUACUGUAUAGCUUGAAUAUGGUUGCUGUGAGUGGAAUGUGUAGUGUAGCGGUGAAAUGCUUAGAUAUUACACAGAAUAUCGAUUGCGAAGACAACUCACAAAGCCAAUAUUGACGCUGAGGCACGAAUGUGUGGGGAUCAAACAGGAUUAGAUACCCUGGUAGUCCACACAUCUAACGAUGAUAACUAGCUGUCGGCGAUAGAGUGUCAGUGGCCAAGCGAAAGCGAUAA
rnacentral:rRNA from 1 species